rnacentral:rRNA from 1 species
UCUAGCGGCGGACGGGUUAGUAACGCGUGGGAACGUACCCUUUUCUACGGAAUAGCCUUUGGAAACGAAGAGUAAUACCGUAUACGCCCUUUGGGGGAAAGAUUUAUCGGAGAAGGAUCGGCCCGCGUUAGAUUAGAUAGUUGGUGGGGUAAUGGCCUACCAAGUCUACGAUCUAUAGCUGGUUUUAGAGGAUGAUCAGCAACACUGGGACUGAGACACGGCCCAGACUCCUACGGGAGGCAGCAGUGGGGAAUCUUAGACAAUGGGCGCAAGCCUGAUCUAGCCAUGCCGCGUGAGUGAAGAAGGCCUUAGGGUCGUAAAGCUCUUUCGCCAGGGAUGAUAAUGACAGUACCUGGUAAAGAAACCCCGGCUAACUCCGUGCCAGCAGCCGCGGUAAUACGGAGGGGGUUAGCGUUGUUCGGAAUUACUGGGCGUAAAGCGCACGUAGGCGGAUUAGAAAGUUAGAGGUGAAAUCCUAGGGCUCAACCCUGGAACUGCCUUUAAAACUCCUAGUCUUGAGUUCGAGAGAGGUGAGUGGAAUUCCAAGUGUAGAGGUGAAAUUCGUAGAUAUUUGGAGGAACACCAGUGGCGAAGGCGGCUCACUGGCUCGAUACUGACGCUGAGGUGCGAAAGUGUGGGGAGCAAGCAGGAUUAGAUACCCUGGUAGUCCACACCGUAAACGAUGAAUGCCAGUCGUCGGGUAGUAUACUAUUCGGUGACACACCUAACGGAUAAGCAUUCCGCCUGGGA